rnacentral:rRNA from 1 species
UACGUAGGGGGCGAGCGUUGUCCGGAAUUAUUGGGCGUAAAGGGUACGUAGGCGGUUUUUUAAGUCAUCUGUGAAAGCAUAGGGCUCAACCCUGUCAAGCAGUUGAAACUGGAAGACUUGAGUAGUGGAGAGGAAAGUGGAAUUCCUAGUGUAGCGGUGAAAUGCGUAGAUAUUAGGAGGAAUACCGGUGGCGAAGGCGACUUUCUGGACACUAACUGACGCUGAGGUACGAAAGCGUGGGGAGCAAACAGG